CCAAUAGCGUAUAUUAAAGUUGUUGCAGUUAAAAAGCUCAUAGUUGAACUUCGGGGUCUACCCAUUGGUCAGGCUUAAUUGUCUGCACUGGUGAGAUGGAUCUCUACCUUCUGAGGAACUUUCAUGCCAUUUAUUUGGUGUAAUGGGAAAUCAGGACUGUUACUUUGAAAAAAUUAGAGUGUUUAAAGCAGACUAUCGUCUGAAUACAUUAGCAUGGAAUAAUGAAAUAGGACGGAUUGAUUCUAUUUCGUUGGUUUCUAGAAUCACCGUAAUGAUUAAUAGGGAUAGUUGGGGGCAUUAGUAUUCAAUUGUCAGAGGUAAAAUUCUUGGAUUUAUUGAAGACUAAUUAUUGCGAAAGCAUUUGCCAAGGAUGUUUUCAUUAAUCAAGAACGAAAGUUAGGGAUCGAAGACGAUCAGAUACCGUCGUAGUCUUAACCAUAAACUAUGCCGACUAGGGAUCGGACGAAGUUAAUUUUAUAAUGACGCGCUUGGCACCUUACG
rnacentral:rRNA from 1 species